UCAUCAGGAUGAUGCGCUCAGGAACGUCGGGAUGACGAAGAGCGGCUGGAGUGGAAAUGGUCAGGGAUGUCGGACCGGAAAAGGAAAAGGACAGGCUCAAGAGUUGAGCAGGCGCAGGAUUAACCGGGAUGUUGUGAGCCGAAACGGAUUUGAAACAUGAUUCCUUCUGCCGAAGGUAUGAAAUAAGGCGACAGCUUGAGCUGUCGCCUUUUUUCUUUGUCUGGUU
rnacentral:sRNA from 2 species